ACUAUAAAACUGCUGACGUGGCCGUGGACAUGUACAUGGAGAGUCAUGGUGGGACUUCAUGUACAUGUGGGAAUUCCUUCCGGCACCCCCGUACCGCAAAGCCAACGGUGGGGAAGGAGAAGUGCAGACGUGCAGGAAGACGAACGAGGAGGAACCAGGACGAGCGAGCAAUGGCAGGACUAGCUGGACCGUAAGUAAUAGCUGAAUUGUGCAUGACAACUUGACAUCCAUGCGGCACUCGCCACUUGCCACUGCAUAUUUCUUGUCCACUAACAAUGUCUCUCCUCUGCCCCCUGUGUGUCCACGGCCCUGUUGCUGAAUUGGCCCGAUGAAUCGAAUGUCUUCCGCAACUGGAACGGCCCCGUGAACGCUGUCGCGUCGGCGACUGAAUGCGCAGGAGGGAAAAUAUUGCUGCGAAGACGUCUCCUCUAGACGACGGUAUAUCAUCCCGUGACGACCACAUUGAAGUCUGAAUUUGAAGUGUGAAGAUGCUUCAGCAACCACAUCGUACUUUUCCAUUGCUUUCAUUGUGCUUCUACUGUGCAUGUGUGUAACUUGUGGGGUAAACAUGUGAUGACAUUGUAUGCUGGCGACACGGUCAGAUGUUCAUGCGUCUAACGUACACCUGCAUGUUAUGCAUUGAAAAGGGUUUGCCACUUGCGAUCCUGGGACGAGUAUCAGGUCCGCUUUGUCCUGUGUGGGCUGUAUCAGAUUGCUGUUCACUUCUCUAUCUGUUGGAUAUGUGACUUUCUGCAAGUUUCUGGUGUAUGAUGGCCACGUCCUUGCUUGUCACUUUGUAUGAUAUUACAUUCUGUAUUCGCUGCUUCCAUGGCAUGGUCUGCAAACUGCAAUCAUUGGGCAAAUGUCAUGUUUGCUAUGUUGUGCUUUGGCCGUCAGCUUGUCUACACGCUGUAGUUGAAUUAUUUUUGUUUCACAACUGACUUCCUCAAGUACGGUGGCCACUGCUUUGCAUGGCAUUAUA